UACGUAGGGGGCUAGCGUUGUCCGGAAUCAUUGGGCGUAAAGAGCGUGUAGGCGGCCCGGUAAGUCCGCUGUGAAAGUCAAAGGCUCAACCUUUGAAUGUCAGCGGAUACUGCCGGGCUAGAGUCCGGAAGAGGCGAGUGGAACUCCUGGUGUAGCGGUGGAAUGCGCAGAUAUCAGGAAGAACACCCGUGGCGAAGGCGGCUCUCUGGGACGGUACUGACGCUGAGACGCGAAAGCGUGGGGAGCGAACAGG
rnacentral:rRNA from 1 species